rnacentral:rRNA from 1 species
GACGAACGCUGGCGGCGUGCUUAACACAUGCAAGUCGAGCGAUGAAGCUCCUUCGGGAGUGGAUUAGCGGCGGACGGGUGAGUAACACGUGGGCAAACUGCGUUAUAGAGAGGAAUAGCCAUUCGAAAGGAUGAUUAAUACCUCAUAAUAUUGUAGCUUGGCAUGGAGCAACAAUCAAAGGAGCAAUCCACGAUCAGGUGGGCCCGCGGCGCAUUAGCGAGUUGGAGAGGGAACGGCUCACCAAGGCGACGACGAGUAGUCGACCUGAGAGGGUGAUCGACCACAUUGGGACUGAGACACGGCCCAGACUCCUACGGGAGGCAGCAGUGGGGAAUAUUGCACAAUGGGGAAAACCCUGAUGCAGCAACGCCGCGUGAGUGAUGACGGCCUUCAAGUUGUAAAGCUCUGUCUUCAGGGACGAUAAUGACGGUACCUGAGGAGGAAGCCACGGCUAACUACGUGCCAGCCGCCGCGGUAA